rnacentral:rRNA from 1 species
UAGGGAAUCUUCGGCAAUGGACGAAAGUCUGACCGAGCAACGCCGCGUGAGUGAAGAAGGUUUUCGGAUCGUAAAACUCUGUUGUUAGAGAAGAACAAGGACGUUAGUAACUGAACGUCCCCUGACGGUAUCUAACCAGAAAGCCACGGCUAACUACGUGCCAGCAGCCGCGGUAAUACGUAGGUGGCAAGCGUUGUCCGGAUUUAUUGGGCGUAAAGCGAGCGCAGGCGGUUUCUUAAGUCUGAUGUGAAAGCCCCCGGCUCAACCGGGGAGGGUCAUUGGAAACUGGGAGGCUUGAGUGCAGAAGAGGAGAGUGUAAUUCCAUAUGUAGCGGUGAAAUGCGUAGAUAUAUGGAGGAACACCAGUGGCGAAGGCGGCUCUCUGGUCUGUAACUGACGCUGAGGCUCGAAAGCGUGGGGAGCAAACAGG